UAUAAGUAUAAACGAUUUUAUCGUGAAACCGCGAACGGCUCAUUAUAACAGCUAUAAUUUACUUGAUCUUGACUUCCUACUUGGAUAACUGUGGUAAUUCUAGAGCUAAUACAUGCACCAAAGCUCCGACCUUACGGGAAGAGCGCAUCGAUUCGAACAAAACCAAGCGGCUUCGGCCGUCCGCAGUUGACUCAGAAUAACUAAGCUGAUCGCAUGGUCUUGAACCGGCGACGUGUCUUUCAAGUAUCUGCCUUAUCAACUUUCGAUGGUAGUGUAUCUGACUACCAUGGUGGUGACGGGUAACGGAGGAUAAGGGUUCGACUCCGGAGAAGGGGCCUGAGAAAUGGCCACUACGUCUAAGGAUGGCAGCAGGCGCGCAAAUUACCCACUCUCAGAAUGAGGAGGUAGUGACGAGAAAUAACGAGACCGUUCUCUACGAGGCCGGUCAUCGGAAUGGGUACAAUUUAAA
rnacentral:rRNA from 1 species